GCCUUAACUGAUGACAUUCCACCACAAAAGAAGUGAAAAUGGCCUGUUCCUGCCUUAACUGAUAACAUUGUCUUAUGAAAUUCCUUCUCCUGGCUCACCCUGGCUCAAAAGCUCCCCUACUGAGCACCUUGUGACCCCCAUUCUGCCCGCCAGAGAACAACUCCCCUUUGACAGUAAUUUUCCUUUACCUACCCAAAUCCUAUAAAACGGCCCCACCCCAUCUCCCUUCACUGACUCUCUUUUCGGACUCAGCCCACCUGCACCCAGGUGAUUAAAAGCUUUGUUGCUCACACGAAGCCUGUUUGGUGGUCUCUUCACACGGACGUGCAUGAAAUUUGGUGCCGUGACUCAGAUCCGGGGACUUCCCUUGGGAGAUCAAUCCCCUGUCCUGCUCUUUGCUCUGUGAAAAAGAUCCACCUACGACCUCAGGUCCUCAGACCAAGCAGCCCAAGGAACAUCUCACCAAUUUUAAAUCAGGCCCUGCACUCCAUGGGAUCAGCUGACACCACACAGACCAGUAAUCUGGCCCAACCAGUUCUGCCAUCUCACCCAGGAACAGAAGACAUUAAGAAAAUCUAACUUCGACCCUCUAUGAUUCCAUCUCCAACCUGAGCAAUCAGCACUCCCCACUUCCCAAGCCCCUACCUGCCAAAUUAUCUUUAAAAACUCUGAUUCACGGAGGCUCAAGGAUUUAAGUAAUAAUAAAACUCCAGUCUCCCGCA